rnacentral:rRNA from 1 species
AACGUAGGUGGCAAGCGUUAUCCGGAAUUACUGGGCGUAAAGGGUGUGCAGGCGGGGAAGCAAGUGGGGUGUGAAAUCUCCCAGCUUAACUGGGAUAGGUUAUGCCAGACUGCUUUUCUAGAGGACGAGAGAGGGGGGUGGAAUUCCGGGUGUAGUGGUGAAAUGCGUAGAGAUCCGGAGGAACCCCAGAGGCGAAGGCGGCCCCCUGGCUCGUACCUGACGCUCAGCCACGAAAGCAUGGGGAGCGAACGGG